rnacentral:rRNA from 1 species
AGUGAACGCUGGCGGUAGGCCUAACACAUGCAAGUCGAACGGCAGCACAGUAAGAGCUUGCUCUUACGGGUGGCGAGUGGCGGACGGGUGAGGAAUACAUCGGAAUCUACUUUUUCGUGGGGGAUAACGUAGGGAAACUUACGCUAAUACCACAUACGACCUACGGGUGAAAGCAGGGGAUCUUCGGACCUUGCGCGAUUGAAUGAGCCGAUGUCGGAUUAGCUAGUUGGCGGGGUAAAGGCCCACCAAGGCGACGAUCCGUAGCUGGUCUGAGAGGAUGAUCAGCCACACUGGAACUGAGACACGGUCCAGACUCCUACGGGAGGCAGCAGUGGGGAAUAUUGGACAAUGGGCGCAAGCCUGAUCCAGCCAUACCGCGUGGGUGAAGAAGGCCUUCGGGUUGUAAAGCCCUUUUGUUGGGCAAGAAAAGCAGCAGGUUAAUACCCCGCUGUUCUGACGGUACCCAAAGAAUAAGCACCGGCUAACUUCGUG